ensembl:lncRNA
CCCAUCUAACCCUUUAAAUGUUAGGAAAGACCUGACUGCGUGGCCAGGGAAAGUGAAAUUUGGAUUAAAUCCCCCCAGCGUUUGGGGCAGUAUGAGAAAGGGACCAGGAGUCUGAGACUGCAGCUUUGCUGGGGGCCACCCAGUGGGCACAGGUGUGGCCGCGUGGCAGAAGCGCUUCCCCCCGUCUCGGCCCUAUUGGAGGGAAGCUGGCUUCCACCUGGGGACUCCCUCUGUGCAGGGGAACCAGAUCCCCCCACCUCACUCGGCUGGGCUUCCAGUCGUUUUGACCCAACUCGCGCUCGCAUCUGACAGCAGCCUCAGACCAUCGAGGCAGCGGGCUGCUGCGAUCUGGGCGAAGACAGAGGCGGCGGCUCCGUGCCUGCCGUGCCUGGCUGUGUCCUUACCUGAUGCUAAGGAGGAAGAAAGCCUUGACGGCAAGUGAGAGCGCAGUAAAAAAAAAAUUAAUAUUCUGUACUCGAGUGUGGUGGAGUGUGGCCUGUGCUAGAAAAAAAUACACGGUGUUUCUUACAACAAAACCGAACAGCCUGCGCGUCCCGCCCGUGCUGCACGUUCCUGGGGGCAGCGGGAAGCUCCGCUCUCCGGCCUCGGCCACGGGCUCACCCCACUCGCUCGGAGGGGUGGGAAUGAGGUCACCGCGCGGAGCCGGGCCGGGCGGGGGCGGGGGCAGAGGAGGAUGAGAACGCCGGCCGGGGGAGGUCCGAGGGCCCGGGGCCGCCCGCCACCGUUUGAACCCACGCGGGUGCCGGUGCGGGGAGGAGAGCAGCCUGUGGACACGGGGACAGAGUCCUGCGACGACGCAGAAAAUGGGAACCAUCUUAGCAACGCUCCCGCUCCUCUCUCCCAAGAAGGGCGAGCACGCUGCGCGGCUGUAGGCUGGGCGGGGGCGGCAGGGGACCCUCCUCUUGCCCUGCUGCGCCCCCUCUGACUCCCCCAGACCCCGAGGGCCGACCCCCGUCCGCGCGGUGCGCGUCUGGCCUUUGUCUCUGCUGGGGGCCGGCGCGCCCCCUGCCGACAGGUCUCCAGGCCUGCUGCUCGUCUCCUCCUCCCGAUCUUGCUCGAAUUUCUUGGAAGGCCGCGGCCAUACCGACAGAGGUCGUCCGGCCUCCCUCGGACGAAGUGAAACGCCUAAUGGAAGUGCCUUCCCUGCAGCGGCGGGAUUCCCCGCGAGCCCAGAGGCCGGCGGAAGCACAGGGUUUGCGGGGAGAUCUCGGUGUUCCCCCUGCUUUUCCAGCAGGGCAGAGCAUCACGUGCCUGUGCCGACUAAAGCUUUAGACGAUUGACUCGUUUAACCUUUCCAAAGAUGUUAUCCAAGCUGCAAAGUCUUGGCAAUCUGAAGACCUUUUAAGUCAACAGACCAAAGAGCUUUAGUCGGGAUUAAAUGCAAAACGCCAAAAUUUAACUUUUAAAAAUACAACGUCUAAAUGCAACCUAAGCACAUCUGUAAACCGAUGCAAAACAGGCACCGGUGAGAGCCCGCCCCUCGCCGCGCCCUCUGCGUCCUGCCCGGCUUUGUGCAAACGCUGUUAGCUCAGAGCUUCGGGAACGAAAAUCCUGGGAACUUUCUUUUUCUGGCUGGCAACGUGGAAGUUUGCGCUCACCCAGGGGAUUUCUCAUUCGCUGAAGGAUUUAAGUCCGUGUGUGUCAUGGAAAAUCCGACUUCCUCCCAGCUCAAGGUGGCCCCGAAGAGGUGGGCCUGGGACCCACGACUCCCGGGUCCCUGGGCAGGCCACCCUUCCUCUCUGCAGCCGCCUGCCAGCGCCCAACACAUCCGGGGGCUCAACAAUGAAACAGUAAAUAUCCACACGAAACAUAGAUUCUGCCGAAGAGCUCCACUGCAAUGCACCUGGCUUUCUAGAAGCAAUAAAUGAAAGUCUCAUAUUAAAAAAAAAAAAGAUUAAUGAAGUCAUGACGUAGAGAGAGAGAACACAGCAGAAUCCAUUGACUCAAGACAACGUGUGCAGAAGCAAUUUGCCUCUGAAACUCUAAACAUGCGACGCUUUGGUACUUCCUGGCAGCUCCUCAGGAGCUAGCAAAGAAAUACUUCCACAUGGAAGGAAAAGGUCCUUUGAAAUGUAGCUUGUUCUAUUUGAGAGAGAAACACAGCAAGGUUACUGCGGCUUCAGUGGCGAUAUGCAUUAUUAUUUAUUUUUCCAGUUCGAAAAUUGUGUGUCUUUUCAUUAGGACUCCUAGAUGGUAAACACCGAUCCCCACGUGAAUUGAAUUAGUCCAACCCCCUCCCUCCCUUGCUGGUUCAGGGAACAAUAGAGUAAACUCUGGCUGACAAAUUACGCCUUCAUUUAAUGAUUUGAUUAUCUGUUAAGUUAAAAACAAUCCUGUUAAAAGCCUGGACCCUACCUCGUAUUUAAUCUACAUUGUUACUCUUCCUUGUCUUCUGUUUUUGGGUUUGUUCCCCAAAGAUUAAAAAAAAAACUAUGUCACUUGUGCUCUGAGUUUGAAACAGACACGUGAUCAGGUCUGAUGUCAAAUUAGUAGGUGGCAGGAGAAAGCCUGUCGCAUGAUAGCGUGUUCUGCAGACGGCUUGAUUUUCUUUAAUAAAAAUAUUCUGCCUGAAAGGCUGGGAGUGACUGCGUAAUUCGGCCGCGGGCUCAGACCGGAGGCGUCUGCAGGCAGCUCGAAGCAGAGGAAACUUUUCUGCUCUGAGGUUUCGGAGGAACACUUUCAGCCAGACUGCAAACCGCCGAAAUGAAAGUGAAUCACGCAGACCAGUCAUACUUAAUCCAAGUGAAACUCAUUCAGUCAUUUCUUCUAUAAAUAUUUAUUGAAAGCCUAUUUUGUGUAAGAGGCUGCCACGUCCGAAAAGGCCAGGAAUUUUUUGCGUGAACUGAGACCCCCACGUGACAAAUAUGGUGGGCUGCCCUGUGUGUUCUGCGUGGACGCCCUCAGUGACUGCAGGAUCGUGGUGUCACGGCACAGGCCUGAUCCAGGAUUCUAGGAAGAACAAAGUACAGCAGUGGUCUCAGGAAGAAGAGCCCACGUUCGAAGUUUGUAAAGCGACAGAACAAAGUUUGUUAUGAUGGAGGUCGUUGGAACAGGACAAAUGGGCUGAUCCCUGGCUGAUGGUGGGCCGGGACAGCCCCGAGGCAACGCCCCUGCUUGGCAUGAACAAGUGCUGGGUCAGCCCAGCGUGGACAAUGGGAAAAAUCAAGGUUCACAGGUAGGGAAGAAAACAAAACCAAACUGAUGGCCAUUACUGUGGCUCAUCAAUGUGAAAGAAGAUAUUGACAAGUAUGCAUGAGGUACAAGGAGUAAUAUCACAAACGCCCAGGACCAGCCCUCCCGCUUGAGCCCUGGAACCGGACCACAGCUGCUGGAGCCCGUGCUGUCUGCUCUUCCCUGACAUCAUCCCCCUUCUCCACGAGGUUCCCAUAUCCUAAUGCUGUGUUCGUUAUCACUUAAUUCCUUUAUAAUGUUCCCUUGUAGCUAUGUAUCCUUGAACCAUGCAUUGCCUAGUCUUGCACAUUUUUGAAGUCUCCAUAAGAGGUAUAACAUUCUCGGCAGUCCCCUUUUCUGUUAAGUUUACGUUUGGGAUGCAUCCGUGGGUGUCGAUGCAUGUAGCUCUGUGUUAUUCAUUUUCACCGAGACGUAGAAUUCCAUUGCGUGAGUACACCGUGACCUGCUUACCCACAAGAGGAUAUUAUUUUCUCUUUUUUUAUUGCUCACAUUAUUUUAAUAUUACCUGUACAUACAUAACAAUUGUUAUGUGUUAUUAUUCAUAAGUUGUAAACAGUCUCUGAUUAUGGGAUCCAAUACAUAAAAGAUUGAACUGUGAAUUGGGUAAUUUUCUACAUAGAUUCUUUGUGAAGCAGAGAUUCGAGAGCCGGUUAUUGCCAGGCUCCUCCUUCGGCCCAUUAGGCCUCGCUCCCUUUGAAAAUAGUAACUUUGUUUCUCAAAUAAUAUUUCCUCCCAACUGUGACACCAGCUAGAUGUCAACGCCUCAGUGAUAUCGUCAUGUCCUUUGACAUAAAAACAUCAAUUUAUGUCAAACAUAAUUUAACCUAAAGCCGAAUUUCCUUUAUUAGAAUGAUAAUGUCACUUAUUGUACAUCUUUUCUUUUACCUUCCUUGAUUUUAGUUGUUAAAACAACACCCCACUUCACGUGCUCAUUUGUGAAGUGGCAGUGCCGUUACUAACGCGGGUCUGUUCUGAGGAGCGACCUGUGAAGAUGGUUUCAAAGCACUUUGUGAUGAAGAGAAUGUUCUAUAAGUGGGUACUGAAAAUAAUCAAGACAUUCAUGGAUCCAAACAGGCCACAGAAACACCAUAGCAACAAAUGAACAAUAAUUGCUGCCUUACAGGCUAUUUCCUCAGCGACGCUCUCAUUCAAUCAGCACUCACGCCGUGUGCUCAGGAGGAGCGCAGGUCAGGUCUGGCUGCCACCAUCCAUGAAGAGGGUGUGCAGAACCAGACCAGGGUGGGGGCAAGAGGAAAGGUGGGUUUGUUCCCUCAUUUCCUUCCUCUCAGCUUCCUGCCCACUUAUUCCCUGACAUCUCCUCAGCACCGACAGAGAUGUGGUAGGUCUGGGCAUCCCGCACCCCAAGCCACUUAAUCCAAGUCACCUAAUAAGAUGUGCUGUGAAGAAACUAUCUCUUGCCCCAAAGUUCUUACCUUGAUGGACAUACAGCUAAGUCAAUGUAACGGAUGAGGCUGUGAGAGGAUAGUGAUGACAUGAUCCAUCUCUCUCUAAGACCACCAUCAAUAACGCAGCAAUGAGGGCCAUGGCUCCCUCAGCCUUGGGAAGUCUGCAAAAGCUAAUACAAAAUGUGCCAUUUCCAAGUUAUUUUUGGAAACAGACACAAGGUAGAUGUUACCCCCGCCCUGCUUCCCUAAGGCACAGAGGCUGGAAAGGAUUCACAGGCUCUGUUGGAUUCACCAUAAUUGGAAACCAAACCCUCAAUAAUAACCCCAGGAAUCCCCAGGAAGAUGCCAACAUGAGAAGGAAGGAUUCCGUUUUCGAGAGAAGGCCCUUGGCCUUACCCAUCUUGAUGACGUGUCGGCUGGCUGGAGAUGCCCAAGUUAGCGGAAGGCUCUGCAUGGGCGUGGAUGACACCAUGAUCCAGUGAAUCAAGUCCCCCAGGAAACCUGAAGCCGUCAACCAGACAGUGCUAAGGCGAAAGAGAUUCGCGUGGAGGGCAGCAUCUUGGUGGAGCCUAUUUAUAGGCAUAUACAUGAAGAAGAGGUCAAGGAAAUCUUUUUUGGUCAACUCGCCAAAGCUUUCAGUUACAUCUAGUUAUGAUGGGGCAUUUAAGUCCGUUACAUUCUGGGAAAACAAUUCGACUGACCACAGACCACCAAGUAGCUUUUGGAACUACCCUAGAGAGAAUUUCCCGCUUUAGGAUGUUAGAGGACUCCAAGAGAACAGAGGCUGUAACUAAUCUGACCCUUAUCAGGAAGAAAUAGUGGGAGAUUUAAAGACGAACCACUUGGAGGAGGAUGGUUUGGAGGAAUCAGUCAUGAAAUAACCAGAUGCAAUAUUUAAAGGGAAGGAAAAAAAGAGAAAUCGAAAAAAUAAAGAAAAGAGAUGGUCUAUGAGUUGAUAAUUGUCAAAGCUGGGUGGGUAUAUGUGGGAGUCCAUUAUACCAUUCUCUCUUUUUUUGGUAUAUAUUUAGGAUUUCCAAAAGCAGAAAUUUUAGAACCUGCCAUGAAAACAAACAAACCGAAAAUAAGACGACAAUAAGAGAAAGCUGAUGAACCAAGAGUUACCACCAUGCACAUAGUAUUUAAAAAUGUGCAGUCGAUGGUCAAUGCCAAAGAAACAGCUAAAAUGGGGAGAGGGAUACACAGUUGGAUCAGGGUCCUGAUGGUUUAUAUUAUCAGUCCAUUUGAUGUUUUCCUUUAUAAAAAUAAAAAGACAAAAAUAAAAAGUAGAGAAAUUCUGAGUGGAAGAUUAUUUUCAACCUAUAUUUUUACAUCCAUCCAAACCAUAAAAUAUGAGGGUUAAAUAAAAACAUUUUUAGGUAUACCACUACCUAAAACUAUGCCCCUCUGUACCCUCCUUAGACACCACUAAAGGGUGUGCUUCCUCAUGGAGAAGAUUCAAUCUAAGAAAGAGGAAGCUGCAAGAUCAAGGAGACUGGUGUCCCACGGGACGGUGACAGAGGAAGUCCCAGGAUGGAUUCCUCUGUGCUCAGAUGUAGGGAGCAACCAGGCCAGACUGCUCUACUGUUUCCAAACAUGACCCCUACCACCCCUCCACUUUUCCCACUACUCUAUUUCAGUGAAAUGUCAGGUGAGAUGGGAAAUCCAACGGGAUUGUGAGUCAUUGGCCUGGCAGACCUUAAUACGACUCCCAGUGAGGUGUCUUUCCGGAAAACAAGUUAACAGGAUUCCUAAGCAAAUGGGGAAUUGGAACUGUUUUCAAGAAACGAUAAAGGGUGCAUUCCUCAGGGGCAUGCCUGUGGAUGAGCAGACUUCCUGACCCAACCAAUCCAGGUGUAUUUGAGAGGGAGGGACCCGAAUGGGAGACAGGACCAGAUAGAGGCUGUCUGGAGCCCCCGCUCUCCUACCGUCUCCAUGAGGAAGAUGGCUCAUUUCACUAUGUCCCAUGGACUCUAUGGAGAGUAGCCAAGAGUGGGCCAUCAUGUUGGUGCUCCAUCCAAGAAGACUACCUACUGGGUGAAGAGAGCCCAGCAGCAAGAGCCAUGGGGUGUGCAGACUCGGGCAGGAGGUAUCAUGCCAGCAGGGGGCUGAGGUUGGUGUGGGGACAGGCCAAGUGGCAUCGGCUUGCCUACUGGGGAAAUGAGCAAUGAUCCUACCCUGCCCACAUGCAUACACUGAAGAAUUCAUACUGUGUCAGCAAGGGACCAGCAUUUAGACACCUGUAUCGAUGUACACCCCAGAAGAACAGCAACCCCCAACUGAAUAUUAAAAUUGCUUCCUCACAAAGUCACAGUCAAACCAGAUCCUAGAGAUAGGGUCUUAGUGAACAGCACAGUUCUAUAGUGGCAAACUUAAGAAGAUUCCACAGCACAGAAGAAAUAAGAAAUAUUAACGUUUUUCAAAUAUAUUAAAUAAAGGAAAAUCCCCAUCCCUGAAAGAAGAAAGCAGAAAAACAGAGUAUAUUUUUUUAAAUGUUUGAGUUCAUUAUUUUUGCUGAAGAACACUUCUUUCUGCAAACACCAAAUUUGCACAUUCCCGUGUGAGAUGCAUGGAUGAAAAGGCAGAUUACUAAAGGAAAAUGAAUAAUUGAAUAUCACCUUGCAAAGGAUCUGUUUCUUUAGGGGAGCCUGGUGGUGUACUCUCUGGGCCACAUUAGGCGUUGGCAGGCGUCACAAUGGGACAUGAGCCAUCAUGUGAGAAGUCCUAGAGGACAGGGGAGAUCUAUUGCGGAUCUGGAAAGAAACGGUGUGACCAUCUUUUAAAAGAGGUGGGCUAGGACCUGAUUACAGACUGCUCAUCUUGGAAUGAACAUCCGGGAAGAUACUGGGACAAAUCAUUGCAUCAUUAAUUGGCCAUCAACUAGGAGGGCAGAAGACACUAGGAAGGAACCAGUAAAUGUUUUCUGAAAGGGCAAAUGGACUCGGCAUAAUUCAAGGCCCCACUCUAAGUCUUAAAGUGCAGCAUGGCCCCGGGAGAUGGGCCUGGGACUCAAGCACUGUGGGUGCCAGGGAAUUUGCUGGCAUACAAGUGAACUAUCAUAGGGCAUUGUGAGCCAUCCCGUAGUUACUAUAAACAGUGUAUUUAGACACAAAACCAAUUUCAGCAAAUCUUUCCAAAUGUGAAGGAUAAAUGACAGACAUAUAUAAUAGGAUAUGAGAUUCGAAGAGCAAACCCUAGCAAGACUGCCCCUGAACAGCUGGAGCAAAGAGCGUUCUAGGGCCACACAGGGGGCACCAGUCUCCAGACAUGCAGCUAUUUGUUGUGUACACCAACCAGAGGGGCCCAGAAAUGCAGAUGCAACCACAGCAAUCACGAGGAGGGCAGGCACAUUGCAAAGUGAAUGUUGGACAAGAAUUGCCCUGUAGCAUUUUUAUUAUUCUGUUUAGUCACAAUAAAAAAAAAAUAGCUGACGUUAAGUAGAAUUUCUAAUCUACCAAAUAAGUUUCUAAGCACUUUGAUCUUUUAACUCAUAUAAUCUGGUAACAGGUGGGACUCUUAUUAUCUCCAUUUACAAAUGGGGAAACUGAGGCUCUGAGAAGUAAAGCAGUUUUUUCAUUGUCAUUCAGCCGGUGAGCAGCCAGCAGGAGCACUGUCAGCUAAAAUUAAAGAACACAACGGAACUUUCUGUUCUUUAAUGUUUCUCCAACUUAUUCACAUGAACUGUUGAUAUAUCUGACUGACUAUAAUUAAAUAUAACAUUUUGUGCUAGAUCAAAUCGUACAUUUGCUUUUACUCCAACUUCUAGUAUAAAAAAGCAACAGGUAUCAGAGAAAAUUAAAAAGCAUUUUUAUAGGAGAAUGACACAAAAGUUAAAGACAUUCAAGCUAUCACUUUCGUUUUUUUCUACACUUGGGAACAUCUGGCCACAGGCUGCCCCGGACCAGGGUUCAGUGCCAGUGAAGCAGGGCCUGAAAACAAGGCUUCUACGAUCUGAACUUGGGCACACAGACUAACGUGUUUCUGCAACUCAUAGUCUCUCCUGGUAAAGGAAUUACGGAUCUGGUGCCGGCUGUUGGUUGGCAGAACAUGCAGAGGCGGAUCCAAGGGCGGAGAGGCACCAGGAGAAGGCAGGUCUGGUCAGGCUUAGAGCAUGUCCCUUGCCUCCUCCAGCUCUGGGAUAUCCCCGGGUGUUGUGCGUGUUACCGUGUGCAUCCACAUGCACUGAAAUUAUCACCCUAACUGGGUAGAUAAGCCCCCCAGUGGGGCCUUCAAGCUCACAACCAGCGCUUUCCAUGUUUUCGCAUCUCCCGGUGGGAGCCCCUGUGGGUGUCCUCCAGGCUGGGAACAGGAGCCGAUGGAUGAGCACAACACCCACAGCGGGAGAUUACACCUGGACAUGACUGUGCUCCUUUGCCUUUCCCACAUUUUACAACAAAAUUUGAUAAAAAGGUAGAAGGCACUCACUCAGUCAAUGUUAUGCCUCCUCGAGGCUCUAGUCACAAAGGGAACCUUCAGAACACACAAAGCAGUUGGAGUUAGAUGAAGGCAGACACCUGUCAUCAUCC